GCGUGCGCAGGCGGUGAUGUAAGACAGUUGUGAAAUCCCCGGGCUCAACCUGGGAACUGCAUCUGUGACUGCAUUGCUGGAGUACGGCAGAGGGGGAUGGAAUUCCGCGUGUAGCAGUGAAAUGCGUAGAUAUGCGGAGGAACACCGAUGGCGAAGGCAAUCCCCUGGGCCUGUACUGACGCUCAUGCACGAAAGCGUGGGGAGCAAACAGGAUUAGAUACCCUGGUAGUCCACGCCCUAAACGAUGUCAACUGGUUGUUGGGUCUUCACUGACUCAGUAACGAAGCUAACGCGUGAAGUUGACCGCCUGGGGAGUACGGCCGCAAGGUUGAAACUCAAU
rnacentral:rRNA from 1 species